rnacentral:rRNA from 1 species
AGAACGAACGCUGGCGGCAUGCCUAACACAUGCAAGUCGAACGAGACCUUCGGGUCUAGUGGCGCACGGGUGCGUAACGCGUGUGAAUCUGCCCUUCGGUUCGGAAUAACUCAGGGAAACUUGAGCUAAUACCGGAUAAUGACGUAAGUCCAAAGAUUUAUCGCCGAAGGAUGAGCCCGCGUAAGAUUAGCUAGUUGGUGAGGUAAAGGCUCACCAAGGCUACGAUCUUUAGCUGGUCUGAGAGGAUGAUCAGCCACACUGGGACUGAGACACGGCCCAGACUCCUACGGGAGGCAGCAGUGGGGAAUAUGGACAAUGGGCGAAAGCCUGAUCCAGCAAUGCCGCGUGAGUGAUGAAGGCCUUAGGUUGUAAAGCUCUUUUACCGGGAUGAUAAUGACAGUACCGGAGAAUAAGCUCCGGCUAACUCCGUGCCAGCAGCCGC